UACGGAGGGUGCGAGCGUUGUCCGGAAUCACUGGGCGUAAAGGGCGCGUAGGCGGCCUGAUAAGUAGGGGGUGAAAUCUUGCGGCUCAACUGCAAGGCUGCCUCCUAAACUGUCAGGCUUGAGCACAGUAGAGGCAGGUGGAAUUCCCGGUGUAGCGGUGGAAUGCGUAGAGAUCGGGAAGAACAUCGGUGGCGAAGGCGGCCUGCUGGGCUGUUGCUGACGCUGAGGCGCGACAGCGUGGGGAGCAAACAGG
rnacentral:rRNA from 1 species